AACAGUAACGCUCGGUUUGACAGCACAUGGAAUGAUACAGAGAAGAUCACAUGGCCUCCAUGCAAGGAUGACCCACAAAUUCACGAAUGUUCCAUAUUUUUU